rnacentral:lncRNA from 1 species
GACGUAGCCGCCACGAAGGCGCUAAGACGGAAAACGCUCUUAGCUAAGAGGAAAAACCUUCAAGAAAACAAGAUAAACCUUACAUGAAGCUGCUGAGCAUUUGUUUCGUAUCGUCAUUGACUCUCGAGUUGGCAAAGCUGAUGCAGGAGCAGUAUAGCGCAACCCAAGCACACCACUUCAACUGCAAAUGACAGCCCUGAGGUUACCUGAGGUUUCAAUCAACUUGCCUAAAAGGUCAACACUUCAAAAACGAAGGGUGAACAGGAGCACUGUCCAGAGCGAACGAUGCACUAGAACCCCUACCCCAGCCAGGAACCAGGAGAUAUGGAUCUACACAUGGCCCAAAGCUGGAUCCGAAGAACUCAACUGAAGCAGACUGAGGCUAAAAUACUGCACUGCCAGCUAUCAAAGAUUGAUCUACCUUCCCUUCCCGCCCAACCACUUGGGCUAGACAGUAGAGCGAAGGCCCAUUUUUUUGCAAGCCGGUUUUCAAUCCCCGACUGUCCAAGUGGUUGGGCACAAUUUCGUCCCCAUGUCCCAUCAAAAAUCCUUAUAUUGAUCCCUUCCAAAUGCUAUAUAGUUAUAAUGAUUUAGUGAUUUCUCCUAAUAAUUCCCUUCCCUUCCCUUUCCCUCCAGAAAGUAGAAAGGGUGUAAAAAGAGAGGCAAACCGCAAGGAAUACAACUAAGAAGAUUCCUGAUGAUCUAGAACUGCACGCUGGAAAGCACGACAGGCCGCAUAUAGUGUAAAUAUGCAACCACAUCCCACAGCAGCAGCUCAAACAACUAGAGCAAUGCUAUCAAGGCAAUCUUUGAAGACAACACAAAUGGUGAAACCAGCUGGGAAGAACCCUGCUCUAAACAUAAUUACACCUGAUCAACCAGGCUGUGACUCAUACGUCAGGCUGCGAGCAGCCGCAUCCAACAGCCUGGUUGAUCAGUCCGGCAACCAGGAGGCCUGGUCGACGACCGGGCCGCGGGGACGCUAAGCCCCGGAAGCACCUCAAGGUAACACUGAGAAGAGCUCCAGAGUUGCACAAAAAUGGAGACCCUAUGCCAAAUGGAUCUAAAAUUUGUGGUCCAACAUGAUCUAUUACAGUAUGUACUUAUCAUUUUGACAAUGGCAUAUGAUAGAGCAAUCAUUGGCAAACAAUUCCAUUUAAAAAUCAUAAUUACAGUAUAUGACAAUUAUUGGUGGUCCCAACAUAACAUAAUGACCAGGAUUUACACAAACUCAACCAUUCUUGACAUAAAUCCCAGUAAAUUGAGGGUACCGGUAGUAUAGUCGAGUUCGUUCUUGACUCGCAAUCUAGAAUUCUGGGUUCAAAUCCCAGGCAAGAUAGAAAUGGCGGGUGUGUAUCCUAUCACCUAAUGUACCUGUUCACCUAGCAGGAAAUAGGUACCCAAAAGUCAGUCAGCUUAUUGUGGGGUUGCAUACUGGGGAGGGUCAGUAAUUAGACCCUAGGGAUAGGGGGGAAAGGGGGGGGGGGGGAACCUGGAUACAAACCUAACAUGUACUGUAUGUAUAACCUGGCUGCCAGUCCUCCAACACAAUGAAUUAUUAUUAUUAAUAAAUUAUUCGCAAAAAAUUCUUUUAUGAUGCGUCUUGAUUAUGGCAUAUGAUACUGAUCACGGAUAAUUUGGUAUUAAAAUUAUAGAUGUACACACACACAACUUUAUUGAAACCAAACAUUCAAAAGGAGAGAACUUUUUCACCAAGCUUGAGAGAGGAAAUGAGGAAGGGAUAGUCUCACACCCACCCUCCCUCCCUCUUCCCCCAUGCCCAGCAUUCAGCCGACUGCUGUUGCUUUGUCACACUUUUGGCUCACUUCACGCUCAUGCCAUAAAUUUUUCAGUAAAGUGAAAAUGUAUUUUGACUUAAUUACAAUCUUCGGCACAAUAAUUACCGAAUAAUGGACAUCCAUGUUAGUCACAAGGGUUGAGUUGACGGUUCUCCAACCUCCUAUCAAUUAAAAAACUAGAAAGAUCAGACCUAUGUGACAGGUAUUGAAGUAUUAUUAGUGUGACUCCAACUGUACACACAGAAGAUGAUGCAAGGCACCAACAUGGCACACGAGUCAGAAUCAGACAUAACACACACUAAAAUACCCAGCAACAGGCCUGGCCACGUGGACCGAGUCCCAAGCAGUACUGAUGUAAUGGCAACUCAAAAGGAGAAGCCCUGACUAGGACAACACCCAGAAUCUUGAAAAAUAUUACUGGUGGGAAUGGGUAAUACAAACUAGCUACAAAGCAGAGAGUUGAGAAACUAAAUCAGAAUGAAUGAACAGCUAAGGGCACACAAGAUGGGUGCCUUAAACUGACAAGUGAAGCAUGAAUAUAAACAAUACAAAAAGCAUGGCUCCCACAGAAAAUGUUCCCAUGAAUGCCAACAUCACUUACAUACAAUAUACAGUAGUUCAUAAAAUAUGAGUUGAAAACAAAAAAAACUGAGCAAGCUAGUGCCAGGAUGAAUAGGGAUGAUAGUGGUAGACAAUAGGGAUGAUACCGUGGGCUUCAGAACAGACCCUAUAAUGCCAGAAACCCAAAACUUACUCUCAUCAUUAGACCACACAUGCUGAAGAUCAUGCCUAGUACAUUCAUGUAGUCAGUAGUUGGAUCUUCACCAGGGGCCCCUGGAGUCCCUUGUGCUGAUGGUUUGUACCUGUCAAUGGUCAAAUUACAUUAUAUUGCAGUUGGUAUGUAUAAAAAUGUAAUAUUAAUGUAUUAUUAUUAUUACUGUAUCAGUAAGGUGUUAUUGAUCAAAUAAGUAACAUUAAAGCAUGAGUGAGAAGGCAAAUAAAAUGAAUUCAAUAAA